rnacentral:lncRNA from 1 species
CCUUGUAUGGCCUUUCAAGUCCAUAGCCCACUCAGAGAUGACCACCAAUAACCACUACUUGCCCCUAUUCAUAAUGCACCUCACACUGUACUGCAAUAAUGUGCUUAUGUGUCUGAUAUCCCUCUAGACUGCCCUGAGUGGGCAAGGAACAUGUCUCUGGCACAUGGCUGUGUCUACCAUCCAAGAUGAUGGUACUGUGCCUAACAGUUGGAUGAAAAAAAGAAAUGGAAUUUAAAUAAAUCAGAGGACACUGAAAACAGGCUCAAUACAGCUCAGAAGCUGUUUGUGAGUAAACCACACAGAAGCCAACUUGUGGAAUGCUAGGAUGAGAGGUCCAGCAGGGGUCUGAGGGAUGCCCUAUUCUGUGAUAUGCCGGAGCAAAGGGACAUAAAAUAACAGGCAGAAAACCAUAAUCCAAUAUGGGAAGUCACCCCAGAGGUGAACCUGGAGAAACCCCAGAGCUCCAGAAGGCAAAUAUGGAGAUCUGGGACCCACAAACCUAAAAUUAUAAAGAAAAGAAGAGAACCAGGGGUGGCGUCAAGAUUAGAAGCUGGUUUCCUUCCAGAGCUUUGCUUCCUUUAAUGCACUCGCCCACAGUCUCCCUGCUUUCCAAAGACCAACUGCAGGCUUGACUCCUGCAGCCAUGUCAGUGCCACUGGGCCUUGGUGCUGAAUAAAUGAAACUAGAAGGCAAAAAUACA